rnacentral:lncRNA from 1 species
GUCUAUACUGUAGGGUGGGGUCUAUACUGUAGGGUAGGGUGGGGUAGGGCUGGGCGAUAAAUCAACAUCAAUAAUCAUCAAAGUAAUUACUUCCCUCAAUAGCAAUAUAAAAACGUUUUAGAUUCAUUUUGGAUCGUGUCGAUAUAGAAUAAUUAGGUACAGCAGUCCAUUUCACCUCUGUGACGCAGCAGGAACGUGCGGAGAAGUGACAAUAUGCACGUGGAGAGGAAUACGCCCACUAAAAACCACUUAGCACCUUGAGUGAUGGAGUAGCCACUAUUAACCACAAAAAAUUAGUGAUGUAGGCAAAAACAGUGGCAGUGAUAGCCAUGGAGAAGGAGCAGCUUCCAACGAAUAAAUUAUUGAUAAAAAGGGUUCAACUGUUUCAGUAAUUUGGAAGUGGUUUGGCUUUUUGAAAUCCAACAAAGAGCAGAGCAAUGUUCGGUGCAAAUUGUGCCGUAGACCGGUGGUUACGAAGUCUGGUAAUACGACAAACCUUUUUCAACAUCUGAAGCAAAAUCACUCUUUGGAACAUGCAGGAAGUUUGAGUUUGCGCCACGGUAUUGAUAAACGCCCCUCAAGCACCAUCUAGGGAUGUUUGCCGGAAGCAGUCAACACAGCGUUUAUGCCCUACAAGCAAACAUUGAAAAGACAAAGACAUCACAAAUGCUAUUAUGCAUUGCAUUGCUAUAAGGACAUGCUCCCAAUUAGCAUAGUAGAAAAGGAAAGUUUCAAGCGGCUUAUCAAUUUAAUUGACCCCAGGUACGUGCUCCCUGGCCGCAAACAUGGAACAAUUUUCCUUCAAGAAUAAUUUUAUGUGUAGCUCCCAUAAUAAAAAAAUUAUGUAACCUUUAUUUAACUAGGCAAGUCAGUUUAGAACAACUUCUAAUUUACAAUUACAGCCUAUCGGGGAACAGUGGGUUAACUGCCUUGUUCAGGGGUAGAACGACAGAUUUUUACCUUGUCAGCUCAGGGAUUCGAUCUAGCAACCUUUCGGUUACUGGCCCAACGCUCUAACCGCGGUUUGUUCAGGGAUUCUUGAGUUUGAAGCAGAUAUGCUCCUUUUAAACAUUAAUUGAUUAAUAUCGUGAUAAUUAUCGUUAUCGAAUGAAAAAAUAUUGUGAUAAUUUAUUUGCCAUAUCGCCCAGCCCAAGAAGUGGGUCUAUACUGUAGGGUAGGUUGGGGUCUAUACUGUAGGGUGGGGUGGGGUCUAUACUGUAGGGUGGGGUGUAUACUGUAGGGUAGGGUGGGGUCUAUACUGUAGGGUAGAGUGGGGUCUAUACUGUAGGGUGGGGUGGGGUCUUUAAUGUUGGAUAGAGUGGGGUCUUUACUGUAGGGUAGGGUGGGGUCUUUACUGUAGGGUAGGGUAUGGUCUUUACUGUAGGGUAGGGUGGGGUCUAUACUGUAGGGUAGGGUAGGGUCUUUACUGUAGGGUAGGGUGGGGUCUAUACUGUAGGGUAGGGUGGGGGUAAGUUUGGGUCUUUACUGUUGAAUAGGGUGGGUCUAUACUGUAGGGUAGAGUGGGGUCUAUGCUGUAGGGUAGGGUGGGGUCUAUACUGUAGGGUAGGGUGGGGUCUAUACUGUAGGGUAGAGUGGGUCUAUACUGUAGGGUAGGUUGGGGUCUAUACUGUAGGGUGGGGUGGGGUCUAUACUGUAGGGUGGGGUGUAUACUGUAGGGUAGGGUGGGUCUAUACUGUAGGGUAGGGUGGGGUCUUUACUGUAGGGUGGUGUCUAUACUGUAGGGUAGGGUAGGGUGAAUACUGUAGGGUAGGUUGGGGUCUUUACUGUAGGGUAGAGUGGGGUCUAUACUGUAGGGUAGGGUAGGGUCUAUACUGUAGGGUAGGGUGGGUCUAUACUGUAGGGUCUAUACUGUAGGGUAGAGUGGGGUCAAUACUGUAGGGUAGAGUGGGGUCUAUAUUGUAGAGUAGGGUGGGUCUAUACUGUAGGGUAUGUUGGGGUCUAUACUGUAGGGUAGGGUGGGGUCUUUACUGUAGGGUAGGUUGGGGUCUAUGCUGUAGGGUAGGGUGGGGUCUUUACUAUAAGGUAGGUUGGGGCCUAUACUGUAGGGUAGGUUGGGGUCUAUACUGUAGGGUAGGUUGGGGCCUAUACUGUAGGGUAGGUUGGGGUCUUUACUGUAGGGUAGAGUGGGGUCUAUACUGUAGGGUAGGGUGGGUCUAUACUGUAGGGUAGGUUGGGGUCUUUACUGUAGGAUAGGGUGUGGUCUAUACUGUAGGAUAGGCUGGGGGUAAGAUUGGGUCUUUACUGUUGAAUAGGGUGGGUCUUUACUGUAGGGUAGGGUGGGGUCUUUACUGUAGGGUAGGGUGGGGUCUAUACUGUAGGGUAGGGUGGGGUCUAUACUGUAGGGUAGAGUGGGGUCUAUACUGUAGGGUGGGGUGGGGUCUUUAAUGUUGGAUAGAGUGGGGUCUAUACUGUAGGGUAGGUUGGGGUGUAUGCUGUAGGGUAGGGUAGAGUCUUUACUGUAGGGUAGGUUGGGGUCUAUACUGUAGGGUAGGGUGGGGUCUAUACUGUAGGGUAGGGUGGGUCUAUACUGUAGGGUAGGUUGGGGUCUAUACUGUAGGGUAGUUUGUGGUUUACACUGCAGGGUAGUUUGUGGUUUACACUGUAGGGUAGGGUGGGGUCUUUACUGUAGGGUGGGGUGGGGUCUUUUCUGUAGGGUAGGGUGGGGUCUAUACUGUAGGGUAGAGUGGGGUCUUUACUGUAGGGUAGAGUGGGGUCUAUACUGUAGGGUAGGGUGGGGUCUUUACUGUAGGGUAGGGUGGUGUCUAUACUGUAGGGUAGGGUGGGGUCUAUACUGUAGGGUAGAGUGGGGUCUAUACUGUAGGGUAGGGUGGUGUCUAUACUGUAGGGUAGAGUGGGGUCUAUACUGUAGGGUAGGGUGGUGUCUAUACUGUAGGGUAGAUGGGGUCUAUACUAUAGGGUAGGGUGGUGUCUAUACUGUAGGGUAGAGUGGGGUCUAUACUGUAGGGUAGGGUGGUGUCUAUACUGUAGGGUAGGGUGGGGUCUAUACUGUAGGGUAGGGUGGUGUCUAUACUGUAGGGUAGGGUGGGGUCUAUACUGUAGGGUAGGGUGGUGUCUAUACUGUAGGGUAGAUGGGGUCUAUACUGUAGGGUAGGGUGGUGUCUAUACUGUAGGGUAGGGUGGUGUCUAUACUGUAGGGUAGGGUGGGGUCUAUACUGUAGGGUUAUCGUGGGGUCUAUGCUGUAGGGUAGGGUGGGGUCUAUACUGUAGGGUAGAGUGGGGUCUAUACUGUAGGGUAGGGUGGGGUCUAUACUGUAGGGUAGAGUGGGGUCUAUACUGUAGGGUAGGGUGGUGUCUAUACUGUAGGGUAGGGUGGGGUCUAUACUGUAGGGUAGGGUGGUGUCUAUACUGUAGGGUGGGGUCUAUACUGUAGGGUAGAGUGG